rnacentral:tRNA from 1 species
UCCCUGGUGGUCCAGUGGUUAAGACUCUACACUUCCAAUGUAGGGGGUGUGGGUUUCAUCCCAUGGUCAGGGAA